GACGAACGCUGGCGGCGUGCUUAGCACAUGCAAGUCGAACGGGCCUUGUCCCCUUUUUUUUUGGGGGUGGGGUUAGUGGCGAACGGGUGAGUAACACGUGAGUAACCUGCCCCUCACUUCUGGAUAACCGCCUGGAAGGGUGGCUAAUACGGGGUGUUCUGGCCUGCUCGCAUGGGUGGGUUUGGAAAGAUUCGACCGGUUUUGGUUGUUUUGGUGGGGGAUGGGCUCGCGGCCUAUCAGCUUGUUGGUGGGGUGAUGGCCUGCCAAGGCUUGGACGGGUGGCCGGCCUGAGAGGGUGGGCGGUCACACUGGGACUGAGACACGGCCCAGACUCCUACGGGAGGCAGCAGUGGGGAAUAUUGCACAAUGGGCGCAAGCCUGAUGCAGCGACGCCGCGUGAGGGAUGGAGGCCGUCGGGUUGGGAACCUCUUUCGCCAGUGAAGAAGGUCCUGCUCUUUGUGGUGGGGUUGACGGUAGCUGGGUUAAUGAAGCGCCGGCUAACUACGUG
rnacentral:rRNA from 1 species